rnacentral:rRNA from 1 species
UACGUAGGCAGCGAGCGUUGUUCGGAGUUACUGGGCGUAAAGAGUGCGUAGGCGGUUUGUCGCGUCUGCUGUGAAAACCUAAGGCUCAACCUUGGGCUUGCAGUGGGUACGGGCAGACUAGAGUGCGGUAGGGGUGACUGGAAUUCCUGGUGUAGCGGUGGAAUGCGCAGAUAUCAGGAGGAACACCGAUGGCGAAGGCAGGUCACUGGGCCGCAACUGACGCUGAGGAGCGAAAGCAUGGGGAGCGAACAGG